ACGCUCGACACCUACGGGACAGCAGUUGGGAAUAUUGGACAAUGGAGGAAACUCUGAUCCAGUGACGCCGCGUGAAGGAAGAAGGUCUUCGGAUUGUAAACUUAUUUUGUCAGGGAAGAAAAAUGACUGUACCUGAAGAAAAAGCACCGGCUAACUACGUGUCAGCAGCCGCGGUAAUCUGAGCGGGCUGGCAAGGC
rnacentral:rRNA from 1 species